rnacentral:rRNA from 1 species
UACGUAGGAGGCGAGCGUUGUCCGGAGUUACUGGGCGUAAAGCGCACGCAGGCGGUCAGAUCAGUCUGGAGUGACAGUCGUCGGCUUAACCGACGAAGUGUUCUGGAAACUGUCUGACCUGAGGGCUUCAGAGGGACACGGAAUUCCGGGUGGAGUGGUGAAAUGCGUAGAUAUCCGGAGGAACACCAAUGGCGAAGGCAGUGUCCUGGGAAGUACCGUGACGCUCAGGUG